AACGAACGCUGGCGGCAUGCCUAACACAUGCAAGUCGAACGAGACCUUCGGGUCUAGUGGCGCACGGGUGCGUAACGCGUGGGAACCUUCCCUUAGGUUCGGAAUAACUCCCCGAAAGGGGUGCUAAUACCGGAUAAUGUCUUCGGACCAAAGAUUUAUCGCCUUUGGAUGGGCCCGCGUUGGAUUAGCUAGUUGGUAGGGUAAAAGCCUACCAAGGCGACGAUCCAUAGCUGGUCUGAGAGGAUGAUCAGCCACACUGGGACUGAGACACGGCCCAGACUCCUACGGGAGGCAGCAGUGGGGAAUAUUGGACAAUGGGCGAAAGCCUGAUCAAGCAAUGACGCGUGAGUGAUGAAGGCCUUAGGGUUGUAAAGCUCUUUUACCCGGGAUGAUAAUGACAGUACCGGGAGAAUAAGCUCCGGCUAACUCCGUG
rnacentral:rRNA from 1 species